GCCCGGUUAGCUCAGUCGGUAGAGCAUCAGACUUUUAAUCUGGGGGUCAAGGGUUCAAGUCCCUUAUUGGGCG
rnacentral:tRNA from 1 species